AUGGAAACAGGUAACUCAUAUUCAUAUAAUAGUGUAACACUACUACAAAACCCAAAUAUCAUCAAAGACAUUAUGGGAUACAUCACAACAGUAUCAGAGGACAGAUACACUAACUACACAUAUAUGGGUGUAAGAGAGAGAGCCCGUCCUCACACCCACAUAUGUGAACUCAAUGGUGUUCAGCAGAAGCUCCCACCUUUAUUCUUCACUUCACUUUAUUAUUAUAUACCUCCCUACUCUCACACGCACUCCCGGGAGGUCGAAGCGAGUCAUUUUAGUGAACCCUGCACAUAAAAGAAUCAAAAAAGGAGAAAAGGAAUAUUAUUGUCAAUCAAAUUUAAGUAGUUAAUUUAGAGGUGGCAGUACAGCUUCAUUUUCGAGUUUCUGCUUGUGAGGUCUAAAAGCUCAUUUCAUCGUCCUCCUCAAAUCAAGCCACAGGUCUACUUCUUGCGUAAAAGAGCUCUUCACAAAGCUAGUCUGAGUAGUCAUUAAGCACUCGUUUGACUCUAUGGAGGCUUUCAUUCAAGUACUGUUUAAGAAGAGCUUCCUAAAGUAUUAAUAGCUUUCUCCUUAAAAUCUUCUUCCGAGUUUUUUAUCUUUUCCACUCAGAAGCUUAUUUUAACUUUCUACUGUAGAAAAAGCUUAUUUUAAUUUUCUGUCGUAGAAAGAACUUUCGACGUAUUCCUUGAAAUCUCCUAUGGAGGUUGUUUUUUUUUGUACGAAAUUGCAUUAUUGAUGCAAUUUUAUGUCGUUUUCAAAGAUCUGAUGGUGAUCUCAAAUUGCGCUGAAGUUAAGUAUAUAUGUAGAACUUCUCUUUCGCUUGUU
rnacentral:lncRNA from 1 species